rnacentral:lncRNA from 1 species
AUGAGAGCAAACAGCAGCAAGAGGAUCAAUAAAGCACCAGGAGUCUUAGUGACUUCAUAUGCAGAAAGAUACUGCUUGCAGGAGGUUUUUGACACUUUUUUUCCUUACUUUUCAUGGACUGUCUAAAAAAUGUUUUCUCCUUUGUGUAAGGAAGAAUCUACAGAAUUUUUGAACCUUACUAUGUUUUUUGUGAAGAGGAUCUUUCUGUGAAAGGUAUUUAAAUAGGAUAUGUGAAUUUCUUGCUAUUAAGUUAAUACCCAUGUGAAAGUACUAAAACUAUCAAGAUAAUAAUAUAGAACUGCUAAAAGGCAAAAUUGUAGCUUAAAAAAUAUCUGAAAGUAGCAUUCUGUGUAGUUCAGCCCACUACAGUUAUCUCUCUAGCAGAUAUUUUUAGUAUUUUUUAAAUUAUAUGUAAUUAAAAUAUCCUCAGUAACUGCAGAGUACAUCUGGUGAAGGAGAACGUUAAUGUCAGUUUAAUUCCUGCGCACAUCAUUAGGGUAGAGAAAUACUAGCUAUCACACAGAUUGUUACCAUACUGUAUUUAUUAUCAACAGAGAAUACAUGUAGGAAAAAGGUUCUUUUUUCAAAAAUAAUCUACAGUUUAUUUCUACUAAAUUAUAGUUAAUAAAAGCAUUAGCAUCUAUGGUCUCCUGAUUUUU